rnacentral:pre_miRNA from 10 species
GUAGUACUCCCUCCGUCCGAAAAUACUUGUCAUCAAAAUGGACAAAAAGGGAUGUAUUUAGAACUAAAAUACAUCUAGAUACAUCCCCUUUUAUUCAUUUUGAUGACAAGUAUUUCCGGACGGAGGGAGUACAUC